AUUGAACGCUGGCGGCAUGCUUUACACAUGCAAGUCGAACGGCAGCACGGACUUCGGUCUGGUGGCGAGUGGCGAACGGGUGAGUAAUACAUCGGAACGUGCCCAGUUGUGGGGGAUAACUACUCGAAAGAGUAGCUAAUACCGCAUGAGAACUGAGGUUGAAAGCAGGGGAUCGUAAGACCUUGCGCAACUGGAGCGGCCGAUGGCAGAUUAGGUAGUUGGUGGGAUAAAAGCUUACCAAGCCGACGAUCUGUAGCUGGUCUGAGAGGACGACCAGCCACACUGGGACUGAGACACGGCCCAGACUCCUACGGGAGGCAGCAGUGGGGAAUUUUGGACAAUGGGCGAAAGCCUGAUCCAGCAAUGCCGCGUGCAGGAUGAAGGCCUUCGGGUUGUAAACUGCUUUUGUACGGAACGAAAAGCUUCGGGCUAAUACCCUGGAGUCAUGACGGUACCGUAAGAAUAAGCACCGGCUAACUACGUGCCAGCCGCCGCGGUAA
rnacentral:rRNA from 1 species